rnacentral:lncRNA from 1 species
ACUUUUUUGGAGGAAAACGCGUAUAGCGCAAGAAUAAAUUUCCAUCCUGGUAUCUAUGAUGUCGAGUUGAUUUACAUGAUAAAUUUAUAAACCUCCAUAUUUUGUUAUGAAACUUGUGCAGAAAUUAAAUGAAAAUAUUUGAUUUGUUUAAAUCCUGUAAUGGACUGAUAAAUGAAUAAACUUUUACGGGGAGAAAUUUCAGGCGAAAACCAGGGUUCUAUUUACACAUUUUAAUAUUGCACCUGAACAACUCAGAAAAUUAAUCAAUUCAUGUUCAUUUACGAUUCUAAAUAAACAAUGAAUAGAUUAAACAUAAAAAAUAAGCAUUUUGAAUCUAAAGAAUGUUGUUAUUGAUAUGAGUUUUCAAUGACAGGAAUGGUAUGUCAUUCUCGAUAACUUAAAAACUUCCGGAGGCUUAGCACCCGCUCACCUACUACCAG